UGAAUGAUAAGCAAGAAACAAACAAGCUUGCUUAAUUUAUAAUUUUCUAAAUAUCACUUGACAAAAUGCGUCAAGCAUGGUUUACCAAAACCUGAAUAAAAUAAUGGAAGCAGACGGAUUCGAAAAAGUCUCAAAAGUGAAUCUUAGGUGACAAAAAUGAAAAGAAACAAGAGAAUGAGACAUGCGUGAAUGAUGGUUGAGGGUGCAUGUGGGGGACCUCAGUCAUGUUACAGUAGGUGGCCAACAUUUCCCAUUCCACUUGUCCAAUAAUUAUCCGAGUGCUCAACAGGCCUCCAAGGUUACCAGAAAACCUCAUGAAAUGUUAUCGCGGUGUCACGUUGAGAUAGCGACAGAGAAAGCAGCAACCAAAAGUUAAUUAGGUCCCACUUGGAUCCUUCCCACUGAAAAAAAUACCAUACACAAUAUCUCACUCCCUCUUCUUCCAGGCUCUUUUUUGCAUCCCUCUCUCUCACCUAAAAUCCGUUGCAUAUUCCACAUCAAUCCACGCACGCAUGCGCC
rnacentral:lncRNA from 1 species